AUUCAUCCACAUUAAGAGAGGGAACCCUAGCAACCUAACACCCAGGCACACCUAUCAUACAACAGGAGGCGAAAUCUCCAAAAACCAGAACGAUUCUCGCCGCUUCUUCUCAUUCUUCCAUCAGCGAAAUCCAUCACCUCACACAAAAUGACCCCUAAUCUCCUCUCCAACUUCCAGCACCAAAAACCAGCCCCUGCUCGUCUUCGGCUCACGCACACAACCUCAGACUAGCUCCUAACCAAAUCAACCGCGACCUCACCUUCUUCACCUUUCAAAAUCGCCGGUGAACACCCUCAACGAACCAGCGACCCCUCCUAGUUCCCUCAUCUCCCAUUAACACACACACACGCACAUUAUCGGGAAAAAAAACAAAGGUAGGGAUCGGAAAAACAGGACAGAAUCUGAGAACGAGAAAAAUGAAAAUAGUUUGAAAUUAGUUCUGGGUUUUCAAGUUUCUUUUGGGUUUAAAAUCAAGGUUGUUGUUGGAAUUUCAGCUCUUUUUUUAUGUUUCUGUUGCUGAUAUUUCGUUUGUUUGGAAGCCGAACUUCAUUCUUCUUCUUCAGGCCCUUGUUUGGUGGUCGUUACUUUGUUGUUUGUUGGUUUUAGUUCAAUCCGAGGUUGGUUUGAGGUCGUCAUUAUUCGUCGAGGUUUUGAAUUGCGGUUCGUGGUUUCAAAUCGAGUCUAACUACCAUUUCGAGUUUGGUCGUAGCAGGUGGGUUCAUUUGCUCGUGUAAUUGCUGAAAUUUCUUAUCGAUAUAAACUCCAAUUUGCAGGUCCAUCUCGUCCCCUCCUAUCUGUUAUGCGUGUUGUUAAUUUUCAUGCGUUAUGAUAGAAUUACAUGAUAACGGCCUAAUAUUUCUGGUUGGACAUUGAAAUUGCUUGAAUGCAUAUGGGUUAACAUGAAUUGUGGGGAUAGGGAAAAAUCGAGCUCAUUAGUGUUUAAUUCACACAGUUCUUCAUAAUUAGAAAUUAAUUGAAGAAGCAUGUGCUGAAUUAUUCUUUUUAGUUUUAUUUUAUUUAUUUUUAUCACUUACCCGCUAGGAGCAUGUUUAGGCCGACCACUUGUGUAGGCAAGCCUUAGGAUUUUGUUAGCCUUGAGGCGAGAGGCCGUUCCCUUAGUUAAAUUUAUCCGGGGAAUGCCCCGAAGGAUUUGUAUAUAUGUUAUUCCGGGGAAUGCCCCGAAGAACUUUGUAAAUAUUCUGGAGGCCUUGACGAGCAUUGUAAAGAAAUCGUAGAAUGGGCUAGUUUAGGAUUUUUCUUUUCUUCUCUUUACAUUUUUAUUUAUUAGGAGGGGAUGACCUCGAGCCUCUCUCUUGUGUUUAUUUUCCUUUUUUGUGUUUAUUUUACCUCAAUUUGAAUAUUUUAAAAGCCAACUAGAUUGAGUACGCAACCGUACUAGUUACGGGACUUGGGGAGUACCUAACACAUUCUCUCUGAAUCAAAUGAACCCCCUUACCUGAACCUCUGGUGCAGACUUAGUUUUAGAGUUCAAAGUGUUUUAAAAGGAAAAAUCAUUUUUAAAAAGCGGUGACCUGGCACACUGAAAUCAAAUGUCAGGUGGCGACUCUGAGUUAUUUUCCUUUUAAAUACAAUUUUUGUCACGUUCUAAUUGGAAAACCUUUUUCAAGCUUUGCUAAAUCUGUUAUUAAUUUUAAGAGGGUUAGUGAGGUUUAUAAAAAGGGGUGUGACAUUAGUCAAGUUGAAGUUAAACCAUGAAGAACAUCAAAUCUCCCAAAAAAAUACCUAAAUAUCUACAGUAGGUGAUAUCCCCUCUUUCGAUUUGGGUGUUUUAACACCAAAAUCACCACAAAAACAAGUGAAAUCUACACAUGCAAUGGAACCUACUACUCACAGUUUAUCUCCUAGACAAAUUCGUGCCGAGAUGAGAACAAAGCAAAUGCACGAUUUAGAUGCUGGAGGAAGUGCUACAACUGGCGGCAAACAACUCAAAGAAAGAGGAAAGAGGUAUGUGUAGAUGACGACUUUGUUGAAGAUGUCCCUAAAAUUCCAACAGUUAAAAAAACCCAAGUUUUCUCCAGCUUCCUCAAAACAAAAAACGAAGAAACAGUCCAAAAAACUCCCAAAAUUGAUUCGGAAUUUUUUUUUGGUGAAGGUAAAUAUUUAUUAUUUUCGUUUCCAGUUUUUUAGUUUUGUUUUGGAUGUAAAAAUUUAUGCUUUAAGUGUUUUGGUAAAUUGUAGAUUAGUUGUUUUAAUUUUGUAGAUUAUUUGUAGUUGUGAUUUUCUACAGUUUAUAAUUGUAGUUAUUUUAUAGUCGUUUUGUAGUUAUAUUGUCGUUAGCUUUUAAAUUUUGAAACAGAGUUGUAGUUACUUUUUUCUUCCUGCAUUUUUGUAGAUAAUGUUUAUAUCUGUAGAUGUCUUGUAGUGUUUUGUAGUUAUAUGUGUGGGUAGGCUGUAUUUUUUUGAAGAAGAUUUGUAUGUAUUUUUUCUUCAUGAUUUGUUUUUAGCUAUUUGUGUAGUUAUAUGUACAUAAUAUGUAGAUUAAUGCUUCAUUUUUAUACAGUUUACUAAUGUGAAAUAAUUUAUCAUUUUGUGUAGAAUGAACAUUAUUUUGCCCCACAUAAUGUGGAUUAUGGGGUGCUUCGAUUCCACACUUUGUGUGAUCCUAGCAUUCCUAGCUAGAUAAAAGAGUUAUUGUCUCCAAAUGCUUUAAAGUUUUUUAAAAACACUUGUUUUGGUUACUUACUGUCUCUCCCAUCCAUUUGCAUGCAAAACCAAGCUAUUCAUCUUCUGAUGAAGUAUGAACUGUCUAAGUCUAAUGAAUCAUUUUUUUCAGUCCACUUGAAGGGGAAAAAUUGAAUUUUUUAUUGAGAGAGUUUGGUUUAAUUACCGGUUUAAAUUUUGUGAAUCAGUUUACAGACUAUGGAUAUACUUCUAGUUAUGUUAUCAAGUUAAUGAAUAGCUAUUUUCCUAACAAAAAAAGAGUAGAGAAGUGGUAUUUGAAAAACAUAGUAACAAAUAGAUCUUGGAUAAACGAUGAGGAUGCAGUCAAGUUGUGCAUUCUUUAUCUUUUGGAAUUUUUUGUUUGCCCUUAUGACAAAAACCAUGUGUCUUUUAUAGACCACUUUAGGUUCUAUUUGGUAGAGUCUGGUAAGUUUGAGUCAUACCCAUGGGGUAUUAAAUCGUUCAAUCAGGUUAUGGAAUCCGUUAGGCAUCGUCUAAAUCCCCGUGUACAUUAUUAUCUCAUACGGGGAUGCUCAUUAGCCUUGCAAGUGUGGCUUUAUGAGUGUUGCUCGACCGUCAACACGGAGCUUGCUACGAGGUGUUCUGACUCAAUACCUCGCAUAUUAAGAUGGUCAGCUACUAAGGGGCAUAUUUGGUUAACUACCUUUUAAGAGAAGAUGAUCAAGCCUGAGUGGAUUAAGUUCACAAGCGUGACUGAAUCUGGAGAAGAGAUUGGAUUGCUUACUCUGCCAAACAAGAUUGAGUAUGAAGAUGAACAAGGUGCACAAUCAUCAGAGGUUCCAAAUGUUGUUUUUCCAACAUUGGAACCCAAACAUACAGAUUGUCAAGAGGACAAGGAAUCUGUGGCUAGGAAGCUCAGGAAGCUAGAAAAGGGAAUUGAGCAGGUUGAUGGAAAGUUAGAGGAUUUUAGGAAGGUUGUAUUUGAGGAACUCCAUGACCUUCAAGUGUUUAUAGAUGAUUCUGCGAAAAGUGUUUUGAAUUUGAUAAACAGGAGAUAUGAUGCGGAUGAGGCAAAGCUUGCUGGUAGUUCAACCAAAAACAAUGACCGACAAUAAGGAGUGAACAACCAGCAAUUUCAGUUCAAUAUUGGUGAGCAAGUGCAUGCAAGCACAAGCAACACAGCUGCAGUUUGUCCAGAACAUGUUCCAGCACAUGUUGACUUAUAUUCAGAAUUUCAAGAAGCAGCUGAGGUAGAACAAGCAGAUAUUGAAGAUAUCAAUGCACAGUCCCCAAUUCAUAGAGUGACUGUAGCAGCUCAGAUAGAACAAGUCAUUGAGAAAUAGCUAAAUGAAGGUGAAGAUGCACAACAUGUGGAUGAAGUUGUUUCUGAAGGAUCAGGCAUUGAUAAGAAGGGUGUGACAUUGGAUGACUUUGAGUUGCCAGACAACUUAACACAAUUGGUUAAGUAUGGCGAGGCCAUACCAGAUGAAGCAACCCCUAUUCAUCCGGGGAGAACCAGGCAACUAGGGAAACAUGCACGAUCACCUUUCAUACCUCUAUAUAGUUCUGAAGGCAGCAACUAUAUUGGACCUAAAUUUUUCUACCUCAAACACCCCUUCACAACUAUUAUAGGUGAAAAUGUAGAUUCUGAUGUGUUAGAUAAGUUCAACAAGUAGUUAUACCACCGUAGUCACAAAGUAUAUAAGAGGUAUGAAUGCUUAAUUUGACACUUUCAUUUCAGCAUUUUAAAGUUUAAAUAUGUAAUUAAUUCUGUGAUUUUUUUUUUAUUGGACAUUUAUUUGUUGUUACGGGAGGAAGGCUCCCUUUUCCAUAAAAGAUAACCAAAUCAAGCCUUGGUUAGACCUUGGAGUUGAAAAGGUGGAUAAGAAGCACUGGUUUUAUUCCCUUUCUCACCCCGGACAAGUCCUCAAUGACUCGCACAUUGAUGUUAUUAUAUAUUACCUGAGAAAAAGAGGCAAAUAUGGCCCCAACAACAACAACACUAGGUUUACAACAACCGAUUUCUUGUUCAAGUCAAAGAUUGAACAAAUCUAUGAGAAGUUCUUAAGUUCUCCGCCAGAAAAAAAGUAUUCGAUUGUUAAACCUGAUGAUGAUGUUGCAGAAUAUAUUCUUGGGUAUAGACUUCUUGCUAAUGUUGCCUGGGAUGAAGUUGACUAUGUCAUCAUGCCCGUGAACAUUGUAGAGAAUUUCCAUUAGUUGUUGGUCGUUUUCGACAUAGCGGACAGACAACUUUAUGUGUAUGAUUCCAUGGUCUCUUCACACCAUCAUAAUGCUGUUGAAUCUUGUGUUGAUAAGCUUUCAAUCAUUAUCCCUCUGUAUUUGUCUUGCACUGGUUACGGGAAGCGUAAAGACAUUGACUUCAAGACCACAAAGGCAUACAUUGAGAAACCAGUUACAGACCCUCUCAACAUACAGUGGAUGGUUGCGGAGAUUCCACAACAAAAGGAAGGAUCACUCGAUUGUGGUGUAUUUGUGGCUGCUUUUGCGGAGUAUGUUAGCCUUGGAGAUUUGUCAAUCCCUUCAGAAGACCUUUCGGAUAUCGACCAACACCGUAGACGCUAUGGAGCUCUCCGCUAUGCUACAAAGAAGCAAGAAGAUGAGUCAAUCAGUGAAAGUGAGGUUACAGGCAGGCUAGCAAGGAGGAAGGGUGCUCCUGCUUUGAAUGAGAAGACUAGAGUCCAGAGAAAGAAGAAAUAGUGUCCUGUUUUCCUAGUUUAGUUGAUGUCAAUUUGUAGUUGAAGGAGAAUACACUACUUUAUGAACAAAAUUUUUAUUUUUUUAUUGCAGCAUACCUUUUUGUUUUGUUA